ensembl:lncRNA
CGUUGUUAUUGCUUAAGAAUACGCGUAGUCGAGGAGAGUACCGGCGGCGGGCAGGCAGGCAGGCAGCACGACCGCCCCCAGCCCUCCAGCUGGCUCCUACAGCCUCUAGUUGCCAAGGCUCCUGAGAGAGGGGGAGGGGUGAAAUCUGAGCCCCUCCAAAACCAAAGCCUCAUGUCCACGCUCGCUAAUGUUACCAGUUCUGCAAGGGACUUGCAUCGUUCUGAAGUGUGGACACAUCAGAGGAGAACAACAGCCCAUCUAGCACGGGACAGCUUGGAGGAGUGGUAUUGUGCACUCCAGAAAUGUGGGAGGAAUUGAAGGUGAGUUACUAUGUCUUGUAUCCAAAGGGAACAGUGGGGUAAGUACUUCUGGAAAGUGCUGUGCUAUAUUUACUGACCGCAUCAGACCAGAGCUGUGGUUUU